rnacentral:rRNA from 1 species
CGAACGGGUGGAGUAACACGUGGGCAACCUGCCCAAAAGAGGGGGAUAACACUUGGAAACAGGUGCUAAUACCGCAUAACCAUAGUUACCGCAUGGUAACUAUGUAAAAGGUGGCUAUGCUACCGCUUUUGGAUGGGCCCGCGGCGCAUUAGCUAGUUGGUGGGGUAAAGGCUUACCAAGGCAAUGAUGCGUAGCCGAACUGAGAGGUUGAUCGGCCACAUUGGGACUGAGACACGGCCCAAACUCCUACGGAAGGCAGCAG